rnacentral:misc_RNA from 1 species
UCUCCGUUGGUGAACCAGCGGAGGGAUCAUUACUGGAAUCGCAAGAUCCCACAACCCUGUGAACCUACCGAAACGUUGCCUCGGCGGGUGCCUGGCCCGCGCCGGGCGCUGCGCCCGCCGGCGGCCCCCUACUCUGUCUCUGCAGCGUGGCAUCUCAGAGUCCCAGAAAACAAGUCAAAACUUUCAACAACGGAUCUCUUGGCUCUA